rnacentral:rRNA from 1 species
CCUACAGGUGGCAGCAGUGGGGAAUAUUGGGCAAUGGGCGCAAGCCUGACCCAGCAAUGCCGCGUGAAGGAAGAAGGCUUUCGGGUUGUAAACUUCUUUGACAGGGGAAGAGCAGAAGACGGUACCCUGAAAACAAGCCACGGCUAACUACGUCCCAGCAGCCGCGGUAAUACGUAGGUGGCAAGCGUUGUCCGGAUUUACUGGGUGGAAAGGGCGUGUAGCCGGGAAGGCAAGUCUGAUGGGAAACCCGGAGGCUCAACCUCCGAAUUGCAUUUGAAACUGUUUUUCUGUAGUACUGGAGAGGCAGACGGAAUUCCUUGUGUAGCGGUGAAAUGCGUAGAGAUAAGGAGGAACACCAGUGGCGAAGGCGGUCUGCUGGACAGCAACUGACGGUGAGGCGCGAAAGCGUGGGGAGCAAACAGGAUUAGAUACCCCAGUAGUC